rnacentral:rRNA from 1 species
CCUACGGGGUGCAGCAGUGAGGAAUAUUGGUCAAUGGACGAGAGUCUGAACCAGCCAAGUAGCGUGAAGGAUGACUGCCCUAUGGGUUGUAAACUUCUUUUAUAAAGGAAUAAAACGAGGCACGUGUGCCCUUUUGCAUGUACUUUAUGAAUAAGGAUCGGCUAACUCCGUGCCAGCAGCCGCGGUAAUACGGAGGAUCCGAGCGUUAUCCGGAUUUAUUGGGUUUAAAGGGAGCGUAGAUGGGUUGUUAAGUCAGUUGUGAAAGUUUGCGGCUCAACCGUAAAAUUGCAAUUGAUACUGGCAGUCUUGAUUACAGUUGAGGUAGGCGGAAUUCGUGGUGUAGCGGUGAAAUGCUUAGAUAUCACGAAGAACCCCGAUUGCGAAGGCAGCUUACUAAACUGUGACUGACAUUGAUGCUCGAAAGUGUGGGUAUCAAACAGGAUUAGAUACCCCAGUAGUC